CAAAUCUUCAACAGCAGCCGCCUUUCAUCUUCUACGCCUAAUAGCGACAAUAACUCAAUGACAAGCAUGCAGGCUUAGAGCGCCCAUCCUCGGCCAUAACUAGAAAUUUUCAUGUGAAACCAUUGAGAUACAAUCAAGCAAGAGACCUAAUCAAAAGUAAGAGCCAACAACCAUGGAAAGGAACCUUUGAAGGUCAAUCCAGGCCAAAUGAGGAAGGGGGAUGGCUCUACAGCUUCUCAAUCUUGUAUAAUUGAUAGAUCUGACGCCGAAAGUCUGACGCCGAAAGUCUAAGCCGACACAAAG
rnacentral:misc_RNA from 1 species